rnacentral:miRNA from 1 species
UCUGAUCUGAUCUUUUUUACACC